rnacentral:lncRNA from 1 species
UACUUCUUGCCAUGGGUUCGCCUCACGUCGCACGUAAAAUAUCAUACAAAUCGUACUGAUAGCCCCCUUGCUUGGUGGUGAAUCCAUACCGUCGUGGAAAUGGGGAGCAUAAGUAAUUCUUAACUCGUUUCGGUAUAUAAUACAUCAAUAGUUAAGGAACAAAAAUGUUGCAAUUUCUUUAUGACGUCUUGUUUGGACGUAAUAUGACGUACGUCGACAUCUUGAAAAUCCGUCGGCAUUGUAAUAUCUGCUACUUUUGGAACGUACAUACUAGCAGCAUACUCACAUGGUUAAAUGAAUACUCAAAUCCUACUGAACGCUGUGAAUUACAGCAGUUACAAGGAUUCGAGUCAAUUUUCUGAUACCAGAAAAAUGCUUUAAAAGAUACGAUCUUUAUUAUAUUGCAUGGUUCUUCGUCGACACAUAAAGCAUAAAUUGCUGAAACUUAUUUCAUACUGUAUCUUAUGAUGACUCUGACAAUGACCUAAUGAUAUCAAAUCUUGGUUCGUUUUCAUAGUUUUGCUGCAGAUUACAGCUGUAUCUAAGCACCGAACUUUGUACCAAUUUCCUAAUGAGCCGUUUUUGCCGUAUACCAUUGGCAUCGACUUUACUGCAGCACAACACUGUUGCAAUAUAUAAUACAUGCAUUUACAUUCGCCCUAUUCUUUUCAAUUGUAAAUUAUGACGUUCAUUUCGUAUGGACAGCAAAGAGAAGGGCACGAAAGUUACGUCAUCGCUGCUUAGUGAUAACGGGCCGCUGUUUUGACGACGUUCGCGUAUAGUCAGAGAGAACGUUCCUUAGAUGACGUCGCAGUUGUUCCAUCCAGUGAACAAAAUGGCCAGGAAACUGAUUUUAAUGUUAAAUGCAACAAAAUGUGUGUACUCUUACAUACCUCGUAUCGAGCAAACACCCAGCUUCGAAAAAGGAUAUAAUAUUUUUUUUUUACAAAACAUAUUUAAAUUUUUUUGAAGGACGAAUAUAUAUUAGUACCCGAUAUAACUUGAAAGAUUUUGAAUAUAGAUUAUAUUUACAAAAAUGCGGAUGCGGCUACAUCACAUAUUCUAACGGAUUUUUUUUUAUUCAAAAGUACAUGGAAAGGAACGGUGAACUUUUAGUUUUCAUGAAAUAAAAUGGUUUUCAAAUGACUUGACAGACCUUUAAGACUCAUCGUUAUUAAAAAGGGACUUUUCACUAAGAAUGUGGAAUACUUAGAAAUACCAAUCAAGUCACGCGAUGUGUCAACCGGCAUGAAAAUGAAUAUAAAUACAGGAGUCUUUGAAUACAAGAACAGUUUUAAUCUAGAAACGAUUGUUAUAAUUUCAAAGGAAGAUAAGCAGUGCAGUGAAGAAAAUAAUCAAAGAUGAAAUACAUGCAAUCAGUAUUAAUGUUUGCCGUCGUAUGUGUGUUCUUAUUGGAGCUGUGGACUUGCCAUCCCGUGUAUGAUGGUUGUUCCUGUAUAUUAUCUAAGGCGCAUGAGGUGUAUAUAUCUUACGGCGGAAGAAAAGUUCUGGUUACUCAACAUCAUUGUGAGCUAACAAUAGAUGAUUCUAGUAAUAACGAAGAUUCGUUAGAGGAGGCUUCAGACUGUUGUUGUAUGGCAACCUUUGAAGCAGAGAAGUACAAUCACAGCCUGUACUACAGGCGUGUGUACGGAUGUGAAGUGGUAUAUUGUAAAGCCCUGUGAAACAGCAAGGCCUUUGUAAAGCAAAACUUUGUGAUGUUUCCUUGAAGUUACAGCAACAGAUAAUUUUUCAUCGACACCGUUCAAAUACAUUAAAAUAACCAAACUUUUAGAUGAACGUUGAAAAAAAAUGCUGAAUUCAGUUUGUUGAAUAUAAGUUUUGAAGUAAUGUUUUAAGCCUUUUAAUACAUCUACGUUGUUGUGAAAAUUUUUAGAACUGACAUUAAUUCGGGAUAACAAAUUAAAGGAGCUGUGGAAACUAAGUAACGAUUUUAAGUUAUUAACCCUUAUCCUUGCUAAAUUUCUGAAAUGAACUUGUCCACCUUUCAAUUUGGACGGUACCAUUAAAUGUUAAAAGUGAUGCUUACCAAAAAGAUACUGACUGAAUGGCGACCAGUGCAGACCAAUGAUCAGACUGCACGGAAGUGCAGGCUGAUCUUAGUCUGCACUGGUCCAAAGACAAGAAACUUUAGCCAGAAGCUAAGGGUUAAAGAGAUAAAGCUUGAGUAAACGACAGUCUAAAUGAAUGGAACUACAUUUUCAGAGAACAGGAAGGGUUCAUUUCUUGUACGUACAUACAUUGUAAAAGCCAACUCUCACGGAUUUUUUAUCAAGUUUUAUUUACUUUAAAUUACUUGCUAUUUGAACAUUCUAUAGGAAUAUAUUUUAAAAGUUUUACCUACAAUGUUUAUAAUUAUACAUAAUGUCAUAACAUUCCAUGCUGUGCCAGAUUUACUCUUUUUUACUUUCCUUGCCAUUUUAUUUACUUUCUUUUCGAACGUUUUAGUUUUGUUUUGAAAAUAUUGAAUAUAAUAAUCAGAAUAAAGAA